GAUGAACGCUGGCGGCGUGCCUAAUACAUGCAAGUCGAGCGAACAGACGAGGAGCUUGCUCCUCUGACGUUAGCGGCGGACGGGUGAGUAACACGUGGAUAACCUACCUAUAAGACUGGGAUAACUUCGGGAAACCGGAGCUAAUACCGGAUAAUAUAUUGAACCGCAUGGUUCAAUAGUGAAAGACGGUUUUGCUGUCACUUAUAGAUGGAUCCGCGCCGCAUUAGCUAGUUGGUAAGGUAACGGCUUACCAAGGCGACGAUGCGUAGCCGACCUGAGAGGGUGAUCGGCCACACUGGAACUGAGACACGGUCCAAACUCCUACGGGAGGCAGCAGUAGGGAAUCUUCCGCAAUGGGCGAAAGCCUGACGGAGCAACGCCGCGUGAGUGAUGAAGGUCUUCGGAUCGUAAAACUCUGUUAUUAGGGAAGAACAAGUGUGUAAGUAACUAUGCGCGUCUUGACGGUACCUAAUCAGAAAGCCACGGCUAACUACGUG
rnacentral:rRNA from 1 species